rnacentral:rRNA from 1 species
GACGAACGCUGGCGGCGUGCUUAACACAUGCAAGUCGAACGAUGAUCAGGAGCUUGCUCCUGUGAUUAGUGGCGAACGGGUGAGUAACACGUGAGUAACCUGCCCCUGACUCUGGGAUAAGCGUUGGAAACGACGUCUAAUACUGGAUAUGAUCACUGGCCGCAUGGUCUGGUGGUGGAAAGAUUUUUUGGUUGGGGAUGGACUCGCGGCCUAUCAGCUUGUUGGUGAGGUAAUGGCUCACCAAGGCGACGACGGGUAGCCGGCCUGAGAGGGUGACCGGCCACACUGGGACUGAGACACGGCCCAGACUCCUACGGGAGGCAGCAGUGGGGAAUAUUGCACAAUGGGCGGAAGCCUGAUGCAGCAACGCCGCGUGAGGGAUGACGGCCUUCGGGUUGUAAACCUCUUUUAGUAGGGAAGAAGCGAAAGUGACGGUACCUGCAGAAAAAGCACCGGCUAACUACGUG